rnacentral:rRNA from 1 species
AACAGUGAUGUGGAGCAAANCCCUAAAAGCCGCCUCAGUUCAGAUUGCAGGCUGCAACCCGCCUGCAUGAAGUCGGAAUUGCUAGUAAUCGCGGAUCAGCAUGCCGCGGUGAAUACGUUCCCGGGCCUUGUACACACCGCCCGUCACACCAUGAGAGUCGGAAACACCCGAAGCCUGUAGUCCAACCGCAAGGGGGGCGCAGUCGAAGGUGGGUCUGAUAAUUGGGGUGAAGUCGUAACAAGGUAUC